UGGGAUUUCCUUUCCUCCACU
rnacentral:piRNA from 1 species